GACGGAAGGUGCAAGCGUUGCUCGGAAUCACUGGGCGUAAAGGGUGCGUAGGCGGCCGCGCAAGUCUGGCGUGAAAGCCCCGGGCUCAGCCCGGGAAGGGCGCUCGAAACGGCGCGGCUCGAGUGCCGGAGGGGAGAGUGGAAUUCCUGGUGUAGCGGUGAAAUGCGUAGAUAUCAGGAAGAACACCCGUGGCGAAGGCGGCUCUCUGGGACGGUACUGACGCUGAGACGCGAAAGCGUGGGGAGCGAACAGG
rnacentral:rRNA from 1 species